GCCCGGGUGGCGGAACAGGUAGACGCAAGGGACUUAAAAUCCCUCGAUACCAAGUAUCGUGCCGGUUCGAUUCCGGCCCCGGGCACCA
rnacentral:tRNA from 1 species